rnacentral:rRNA from 1 species
UGCCCGCCCGGGCACUACGAGCAUAAGCUUAAAACCCAAAGGACUUGGCGGUGCUUGAGAUCCACCUAGAGGAGCCUGUUCUAGAACUGAUAACCCCCGUUAAACCUCACCCCCUUUGGCCCCUCCCCGCCUAUAUACCGCCGUCGUCAGCUUACCCUGUGAAGGCCCAUAAGUAAGCAUAACUAGCACAGCCCAAAACGUCAGGUCGAGGUGUAGCAUAUGAGGGGGGAAGAAAUUGGCUACAUUCCCUGCCCCAGGGAAAACGAAAAGUGUCCUGAAACGCACGCUGGAAGGAGGAUUUAGUAGUAAGCGAGGAAUAGAGUGCCCUGCUGAAUCUGGCCCUAAAGCGCGCACACACC